UUAUGCAGGUGCAGUAUGGUAGAGUGAGUACUUAUGUAUCUCAACAACAGAAGAAGUAUAAAUCGAAGCAUUCUAUUCAUGAUUUGGAAUGGGCCACAGUAAGUCUGGUUUAGUAAGGUUAAUGACAGUAUUUUUAUAGGAAGUAUGCCAGAUCCUUACAGAUCAUAAAGGAUUACUAUAUGUAUUUAUCCUCCAAUUGAGACGAAGAACAUAGUUAGAGGUUAUAGACAUACUCAAUGUGGAUUUCUCAGGAGAAGUAGCUUAUCUCCAAAGAAAAUAUUGAUCCAUGAUGGUAAGACUGAGGAAUUUCAAAAUGGACUUUGGAUAAACAGAAGCACCGUUACCCACUCUUCAGAAAGGAUCAGUGCUAAAAACUCAAAGAUUCGCAGGAUAUUUUCAAGGUCUAGAGUUGACUCCUACAAGAAAGAGUUGAAUUGUGUAAUAUGGAAGUAAGGUUUUACAAUAGAGGUGGUUACUUAUGAGGAAAGGCACGGUAAAGUUUGCCAAGAAGCAAUAGUCCAGUAAUAGAAAUCAACAGGAUUCUUAUAACCAUUUCCGAUUUCUCAAGAGAAGCGGGAACAACUUACGAUGGAUUUUAAGUUCAGCCUCCUUGAAUAUAGAGAAAGCAGAGUGGAGUGUAAGAAAUUAAGAAUCGAUUCAGUAAGCCUGUUUGUGUCCCACAGAUAAGAGCCAAGGAUAGUUUGAACAAACUGCCAAGAAUUUUUCCAGAUAAGAUCUUGCGCCGCUAUGGAAUACCAGUCUCUAUAGUUUAGAAUUAAAAAUCCAUAUUAUGUUCCAGUUGGACUCAGCUAAAAGAAGCUUUUGGGCCUUGAGUACAGUUUAAUACCGCAAUUCACUCCAGACAGAUGACCAGCUUAAGAAAAUGAUUUAAAUUGUGGAAAGGUUAUUGAGACAUAAUCUACUUCAAUUUCAGAAUGAUUUGAGUGAAAAGAUGCUGGUUUGGGAGUAUGCCUUAAGUGACAGUUGUCGGAUUUCCUCGGAUUACAAAUCUAAAAUUUGCUAUUAGUAUCUGUAACUGAGAUAUUUCCAAUAGAUGCCUUACACGAGGCAUAGUAUGGAUCACCCAAGUAUGAAGAUGGAAUGUUAAGCAAGGUUUAUCGAAAUCUGAAAGUAUGGUAGGAAAUAAAGAACCUUAUUGGAUUAAGCAGAAAAAUACUCAAGUAACCCAGGACUGGCAAGAAGUUAUGCAGAUACUAGAAGAAGGAUCUUCAGUUGGGUAUUCUCCAAUAUUUAUUGCCUGAGGAAGGUGAAAUGAGAUUUAAGGAAGCAAGGGAGCCAAAUCCUAGUUGUAUCGGACCCAAUGAGAAUAUAGAAUGUGUGGGAAACAAACAGUACAGAUUUUGGAAUAGGAAGUGUCCAGCUUUCUGUGACACAUGUUGUGUAAUAACUUAAGUUGCAGAUAUAGGUGCAGUCCUUCCCCCUCUUUAAACGACAAGGAGGUAAAUUUCGAGGACGAAAUUUUUAUAAGGGGGGUAGAUUGUAAUAACCCAAAACAAAAUAUCUAAAAAGAAAUAAAAUAUCUAAAAAGAGAGGAUAAUAUCUUCUAGCAAAAAGACAAGUUUGCCCUCGCAUAUUUUAAUGGGGGAAAAUUUGACUUUUUAAUCAAGAAAUAAUUUGAGAAUUCCGCUUACGCCAUUGCGUAGAGCGCGGCCAAACGAGUUCGUAGACACGGAGUAGACCCGAAUCGGAGCUGUAACGAAGAAGAUAUGGUCUAAAUACCGCGAAGGGCAAAAUGGUAAUUUGGUCAAAAAGUCAGAUUUUUAUCCCUUCUCUCUCUCCUCUCCCACGUCAGUUUUCUCUCUCUCCUCUCUUCCUCUCCCGUCGCACCCAGCCGUGCGACGCUUCGACUUCUAGGCGACGGCCCGGCCACCACAGGCCGAGCCAAUCUACGGCAAGGGUACCGUCGGCUCCGCCUCCCUCUCGCCGUCAAGACCUGACCGACCUCCACCCUUGGGCCGCCCGGAGUUGAUUGGAAAACCAUGAUUUCCGAUGGAUGUUCAUCCGAGUUCACCCGAUCUUCCAGCUCGAAUUUCUCCUUCGUUUCUCCACCAAAUCAAUUGAGUAAGGCACCAAAGGUCCGGUCGACCCGCAGCCGGGACCUUCGAAGGGUCAAAUUAGCUCGGACCAUCUGCCGUAGAAGUACGCGGGAUCCACCACCGGGCCAUUCAUAGCUUUCGCGCCUCGAAGUCAGGCAGUAGCUUGAUCUGAGCCGAGCAACCGAGCCAAGAAUUGUACUUUCACGCCCUAAACUUCUACAGGGCAUUUCUGUUUGUUUAAUUUCCUUUGAACUUCAUUUCGGUUGUAAACUGAAGUCUUCUUUAGAAUUGCUCUGUUAUCGCCCAUGUAAGGUUGGACUUAAGGACAGAGGCCUAUCCGGUAAACUGUGUGCUUUUA